rnacentral:rRNA from 1 species
AUCUCUGUAGAGUCUGCAUAUCAAUAAGCGGAGGAAAAGAAACUAACUAGGAUUCCCUUAGUAACGGCGAGUGAAGCGGGAAGAGCUCAAAUUUGAAAUCUUCAAGGUUUUACCUUGACGAAUUGUAGUUUAAAGAAGUGUUUUCUGUUGGUGUUUUGGUAAAAGUUCUUUGGAAUAGGACAUCAUAGAGGGUGAGAAUCCCGUAUUUGACCAUUAUUUCCAGCUGUGUGAUACACUUUCAAAGAGUCGGAUUGUUUGGGAAUGCAGUCCAAAAUGGGUGGUAAAUUUCAUCUAAAGCUAAAUAUUGGCGAGAGACCGAUAGCGAACAAGUACCGUGAGGGAAAGAUGAAAAGAACUUUGAAAAGAGAGUUAAACAGUACGUGAAAUUGUCAAAAGGGAAGCGUUUGACACCAGUGUUGUUUUCUCGAAAAUCAAUUAAAAAUGGCUUGAUUUUGUGUUGUAUUGACCUUAAAAGCUUUCUUCACUUUUUUCAUGUCUUUUUUAAUGCACUUUUCGCUUAACAAGUCAACAUCAGUUUCUUUUGUUGUAAAAAGGUCAUUGGAAGGUGGCUUUCUUUUCGGAGAAAGUGUUUAUAGCCUUUGACUUCUGCAAUCGGAGAGACUGAGGUCUGCAGCGUAGAUCCUUCUGGAUUAGAUUCAUUUGUGCUAAGUUACAACCGUUUAUAGACAACUUGUUGACUAUAUUCGAUCCUGUAGCUUACUCGCUUAUGUAAUUUUACCUACGCUUAGGAUGUUGAUCUGUAGUGCGUGCGC